CCCAUUUGAGAUGCUUGUUAGUAACUGUUAGAGGUCUUCUUUACCACUGAGGAAAGACGGAAUCCUACUGGAGACCAGAAAGAAGGUUCCAACACGGAUAGAAGGCCCUCACUUCUGCCUGCUCUCUUCAGACGCCUGAAGGACUUAAACUGUGAUAGAGUGGCUGAUGUUUUGCCUUUGAAUAGAACGUCCCAAAAGAUGGGACCACUAGUCAGCUGCCAUGGACUAGAUUCUCCACUGGUUGGGGACAAUCUGGUCACCUUGCUGCCCAAUCCUGACCUGGAGCCACUGCAACACGAGUGUCAAGCACUGUCAGAAGCCCAUGGGUGGAGGAAGGACCUCUGUGACUGGCUGAUUGACCCCUGCUGAAAGCCGAGGACCUUGUCUACAGACGGGAACAGUCCUCUUCAUGAAUGAAGGUCAGAGACAAGUGAGUGCUGCCAUGGUGGACAACACAAUGUCAUCUGGGAUGGCUGAACCUCAACCCCCCAGUACAUCAGUGCCGCAGAUGCCUUUGCCAUCUCUUGAAUGCCCUGGUGAAGUCAACAACUAUACUUUUUCAGGAAUAGAUAGAGGCUUUCCUCACCAAACGAGAGACGGCCUCUGCAAUCAUCAAGAAGAUACUGGAAGAAAUCUUCCCCAGGUCUGGAAUGCCCAAGGUAAUCUGGUCAGACAACGGCCCUACUUUUGUUGCCAAGGUAAGCCAGGGUGUGGCCAAGUAUUUAGAGGUCGAUUGGAAAUUACAUUGUAUUUACAGACCUCAAAGUUCAGGACAGGUAGAGUAAAUAAAUAAAACUCUAAGAGAGACCCUGACCAAAUUAAAUUGACCAUGGAGACUGGCGCAGACUGGGUGACACUCCUUCCCUCUUGCUCUCUUCAGAGCAAGAAAUAUCCCUUACCGAUUCAGCCUUAUCCCCUUUGAGAUCUUAUAUGGGACCUCAGCUCCCCUGACUGUAUUAGAUGAUGUUACUGAACCAACAUGUCAUAGUCAUAAUGAUUUGUAUAUCAGGCUAAAAGAUCUACAGGUGAUACAGAAAGAAAUCUGCUCACAGCUGACAGCAGCCUAUGCCCCGGAGACCCCUGAGACAUCCCAUCAGUUCCAGGUCGGAGACUGCAGCUACACUGAGCCCAGACAUUCGAGCCUCGCUGGAAAGGACUGUACCUGGUGCUGCUGACCACCCUGACAGCUGUCAAUUCUCAGCCCUCACCAGCCGUGUACUAGCUGUUGGGGCUGAGAGCUGGGACCUAGAGGGAAAUUCAGUCAUGUUUAUCCUGGGUUCUAUCAAGAUAGGUGUGGGGAUAGGCUUGAUUUCCAUUACAAAUGAUGUAACAUUGAAUAUAUUAGUACUCCUAACACUUCUUGGGAAUGUGCCUCAGGGAUCACAAUCUGUAUAAGUUUAGAAGUUCUAAAAGCUAGUCAUGACCUUGGUGUGUAGGUUUAGAUAGUGUCCAGAUUGGAAUCCUGAUGCUAAAGACUUAGUAAGACACAAAAAAGGAGUUGAGAAUUACUUAGGGCUAAGGCUAUCUAGCUGCAAGAGCAGCACAAGGACAUCUGCUGUUGCAAUGCAAGGCUUAUAGAGAAUUCAGAACUGCCA